rnacentral:lncRNA from 10 species
UCUGAUAGAAGAAGAGUAGGAUGCAGACCCCACCCUCAGUGUGUGCAAAUUGGGGUGGUCAGCUGGUCUGAAGGAAACUUCCAGAACAAACCAUUUUCGUAGACAGGCAUGAAGGGUGAUAGUCGUGGACCUGCGCAGGCACAGAUACAACCUUAAAUUCUGGGGAAUUGUAAUUAUUAAUUUUCCUUUGCCUGAAAUGUAGGCUGCCCCCAUUUCUUUAUUUUCUUUUUUCUUUUGCAACUUAUUUUUUUAGGGUGUUGUUAAGAAAUCCAUAAGAGCAACUGUGAAUACUGAAAUCCCUUUCUUUUUCGUAGAACAAGAAAACUCCUGGCUGCCGUAGGAAGCAAAAUCUCAUUUCUCCCUAGAAAAAGCAGUCCCUGGAGUGAUGAGGAAGAAUAUUUGGCAGAAAGAUGUCUCAGAGCCCAUCUUUGAUGCCUCUGCUGUCUAUCGAGCUAGCUCUUGUUUUUGCUAGCACUAAAUCCCCAAAAUACGAUUUUCUCCACAUCUUGAAGCCAAACUUUAUUGACAAAAAGUCCCUAUUUAAGGAUGACCUUUCUGUCCACCUAACCAAUUAACCUCCACACCACAUUUUUUUAAUCCCAGUUUUGAUACUAAAUCCAAAGGAUGAAGCCAAUCUUUCGUGCCUCAAUGCGGCUGGGUUUCCUGAGGGCUGCAGCUCUGGGCCCCUCCUGCUAACUGCUGUCAGCAGCGAUAAGUCACCUGUGGAUCUCGAGCUGUGCCAGAGGCCACAUUUGUUUCCAGGACGUGUCUGACCCUGUUGACUGUUUCACAGGCUGUCUCAGAGGUCUGUGGUCACUUUAUGGUGUGGUGACAUCCAGCAGAUACCAGGUGGAAUUCAUUCAUUUAAAAUGUGAAAAAUAGAAGGAAUAGAGAACUUUAGGUCAUGUGUUUUAUUGCUUACUACUUUUAGGAGCUUUAAGCAAAACAUAUGUUCUUUUAUUAGUUUAUUUCUCUCAACAUGCUAGCUGGUAAUACUUCUUUAAGUAGAAGUUAAUUUUUAAAAAGCGUGUUUACAGUAAGUUGGAGGAAAAGCUCAGAUUGCUAAUAUCCCUGACAGGAGAAUUGCCUGCAAGACUCUUAUAACUAGUUGGAUUCCAGGUUGCAUCCCAGGGGCCAUUUAUAUUGGAAGGUUUUUCCCAGACCUUGGUCAAAUGAAGAAUGAGCUAUUCUGGAAACAACCUGUCUACAGAAAGAAGAGUGCGAGAAGGGAAGAACUGCAGAGACACCUCCAAAUGGCCGGUCCUCUGUGUCAGGAAUGCUGGGCCUUGGUGGCGUCUCACAGGUGAUUGUGUCUGGCCCAUGGAAAACAGCACACAGAACUACCUCCCUGGGCAGGGCCAUCAGCUUUCUUUCCAGGCAAUACCCAUUGGACUGGGAGAAACCUGCAAGCUGCAACUACACAAGCUGGAGCUUCAGACUGAAUUUUAGCUGCUGCGUCAGACAUCUCAGGGAUGGCAAGAACCUCAGUCUCUCCCAUUCUUCUGGACUCAAACAUUCCCGGGAACAUGGCCCCUGUUAUCGCCCAUGUGUGUGGACCGGACCCAAGGUUGGGAUGGGCUUCUCAUCAAGGGACUGCUUUCUGGUUGAGGUGAACCACAGCAGCUGAUGGGCGUGGUCAUUCCCUGAUAUGGCUUGACUCUGUGUCCCCAUUCAAAUCUCAUCUCAAAUUAUAAUCCCCCCAUAUUGAGGGAAAGAUCUGGUGGGAGGUGAUUGGAUCAUGGAGGCAGUUUCUCCCAUGCUAUUCUCGUGAUAGUGAGUUCUCAUGAGAUCUGAUGGGUAAAAAGUGACACUGCCCCCUUCUCUUUCUCUUUCUCUCUCUCCUGUUGCCUUGUGAAGAAGGUGCCUGCUUUCCCUUCACCUUCUGCCACAAUUGUAAGUUUCCUGAGGUCCUCCCCGCCAUGCGGAACUGUAAGUUAAUUAAACCUCUUUUGUUUAUAAAUUACCCAGUCUCAGAGAGUUCUUUAUAGCAGUGUGAAAAUGGUCUAAUAAAGAAAAUUGGUAGGAGGAUAGUGAGGUUCUGCUAUAUAGACAACCUGAAAAUGUGAAAGUGACUUUGGAACUGGGUAAUAAGUAGAUGUUGGAACAGUUUGGAGGGCUCAGAAGAAGAGAGGAAGAUGUGGGAAAAUUUGGAAAUUCAUAGAGACUUGUUGAAUGGCUUUGACCGAAAUGCUGACAGUGAUAUGGACAAUGAAGUCCAGGCUGAGGUGGUCUCAGAUGUAGAUGAGGAACUCACUGGGAAUCGGAGCAAAGGUCACUCUUGCUACACUUUAGCAAAGAGACUGGUGGCAUUUUUCCCCUGCCCUAGGAAUCUGUGGUACCUUGAACUCUGGAGAGAUGACUUAGGGGAGAAAUAAGAAAUUUCUAAGCAGCAAGGCAUUCAAGUGACCUGGCUUUUUCUAAAAGCAUAUGCAUUCACAAAGAGAUGGUUUGAAAUUGGAACUUAUGUUUAAAAGGUAAACAGAGCACAAAGGUCGAAAAUUUGCAGCCUGUGAUAGAAAAGAAAUACUCAUUUUCUGGGGAGGACUUCAAAGCCCUAGCCAGCUGCUGGAAUUUGUCUAAGUAAUGAGGAGCCAAAUGUUAAUAGCCAAGACAAUGAGGAAAAUGUCUUCAGGGCAUUUCAGAGAGCUUUAUGGCAGCUCCUCUUAUCAUAGGUCCAGAGGCCUAGGAUGAAAAAAUGGUUUCAUGGGUCAGGUCCAGGGCCCUGGUGCUCUGUUCAGCCUCAGGACAAGGUGCCCUGCAUCCAAGCCACUCCAGGUCCACCCAUGGCUAAAAGGGGCCAGGGUACAGCUUGGGCCAUGGCUUCAGAUGGUACAAGCCCCAAGACUUGGUGGCUUC